UGGGGAAUAUUGCACAAUGGGCGCAAGCCUGAUGCAGCCAUGCCGCGUGUGUGAAGAAGGCCUUCGGGUUGUAAAGCACUUUCAGCGAGGAGGAAGGUGGUGAGCUUAAUACGCUCAUCAAUUGACGUUACUCGCAGAAGAAGCACCGGCUAACUCCGUGCCAGCAGCCGCGGUAAUACGGAGGGUGCAAGCGUUAAUCGGAAUUACUGGGCGUAAAGCGCACGCAGGCGGUUUGUUAAGUCAGAUGUGAAAUCCCCGGGCUCAACCUGGGAACUGCAUUUGAAACUGGCAAGCUAGAGUCUCGUAGAGGGGGGUAGAAUUCCAGGUGUAGCGGUGAAAUGCGUAGAGAUCUGGAGGAAUACCGGUGGCGAAGGCGGCCCCCUGGACGAAGACUGACGCUCAGGUGCGAAAGCGUGGGGCAGCAAACAGGAUUAGAUACCCUGGUAGUCCAGCGCUGUAAACGAUGUCGAUUUUGGAGGUUGUGCCCUUGAGGCGUGGCUUCCGGAGCUAACGCGUUAAAUCGACCGCCUGGGGAGUACGGCCGCAAGGUUAAAACUCAAAGGAAUUGACGGGGUC
rnacentral:rRNA from 1 species